GGGUUGUGAGGUUAAGCGACUAAGCGUACACGGUGGAUGCCCUGGCAGUCAGAGGCGAUGAAGGACGUGCUAAUCUGCGAUAAGCGUCGGUAAGGUGAUAUGAACCGUUAUAACCGGCGAUUUCCGAAUGGGGAAACCCAGUGUGUUUCGACACACUAUCAUUAACUGAAUCCAUAGGUUAAUGAGGCGAACCGGGGGAACUGAAACAUCUAAGUACCCCGAGGAAAAGAAAUCAACCGAGAUUCCCCCAGUAGCGGCGAGCGAACGGGGAGCAGCCCAGAGCCUGAAUCAGUGUGUGUGUUAGUGGAAGCGUCUGGAAAGGCGCGCGAUACAGGGUGACAGCCCCGUACACAAAAAUGCACAUGCUGUGAGCUCGAUGAGUAGGGCGGGACACGUGGUAUCCUGUCUGAAUAUGGGGGGACCAUCCUCCAAGGCUAAAUACUCCUGACUGACCGAUAGUGAACCAGUACCGUGAGGGAAAGGCGAAAAGAACCCCGGCGAGGGGAGUGAAAAAGAACCUGAAACCGUGUACGUACAAGCAGUGGGAGCACGCUUAGGCGUGUGACUGCGUACCUUUUGUAUAAUGGGUCAGCGACUUAUAUUCUGUAGCAAGGUUAACCGAAUAGGGGAGCCGAAGGGAAACCGAGUCUUAACUGGGCGUUAAGUUGCAGGGUAUAGACCCGAAACCCGGUGAUCUAGCCAUGGGCAGGUUGAAGGUUGGGUAACACUAACUGGAGGACCGAACCGACUAAUGUUGAAAAAUUAGCGGAUGACUUGUGGCUGGGGGUGAAAGGCCAAUCAAACCGGGAGAUAGCUGGUUCUCCCCGAAAGCUAUUUAGGUAGCGCCUCGUGAAUUCAUCUCCGGGGGUAGAGCACUGUUUCGGCAAGGGGGUCAUCCCGACUUACCAACCCGAUGCAAACUGCGAAUACCGGAGAAUGUUAUCACGGGAGACACACGGCGGGUGCUAACGUCCGUCGUGAAGAGGGAAACAACCCAGACCGCCAGCUAAGGUCCCAAAGUCAUGGUUAAGUGGGAAACGAUGUGGGAAGGCCCAGACAGCCAGGAUGUUGGCUUAGAAGCAGCCAUCAUUUAAAGAAAGCGUAAUAGCUCACUGGUCGAGUCGGCCUGCGCGGAAGAUGUAACGGGGCUAAACCAUGCACCGAAGCUGCGGCAGCGACGCUGAUGCGUUGUUGGGUAGGGGAGCGUUCUGUAAGCCUGUGAAGGUGUGCUGUGAGGCAUGCUGGAGGUAUCAGAAGUGCGAAUGCUGACAUAAGUAACGAUAAAGCGGGUGAAAAGCCCGCUCGCCGGAAGACCAAGGGUUCCUGUCCAACGUUAAUCGGGGCAGGGUGAGUCGACCCCUAAGGCGAGGCCGAAAGGCGUAGUCGAUGGGAAACAGGUUAAUAUUCCUGUACUUGGUGUUACUGCGAAGGGGGGACGGAGAAGGCUAUGUUGGCCGGGCGACGGUUGUCCCGGUUUAAGCGUGUAGGCUGGUUUUCCAGGCAAAUCCGGAAAAUCAAGGCUGAGGCGUGAUGACGAGGCACUACGGUGCUGAAGCAACAAAUGCCCUGCUUCCAGGAAAAGCCUCUAAGCAUCAGGUAACAUCAAAUCGUACCCCAAACCGACACAGGUGGUCAGGUAGAGAAUACCAAGGCGCUUGAGAGAACUCGGGUGAAGGAACUAGGCAAAAUGGUGCCGUAACUUCGGGAGAAGGCACGCUGAUAUGUAGGUGAGGUCCCUCGCGGAUGGAGCUGAAAUCAGUCGAAGAUACCAGCUGGCUGCAACUGUUUAUUAAAAACACAGCACUGUGCAAACACGAAAGUGGACGUAUACGGUGUGACGCCUGCCCGGUGCCGGAAGGUUAAUUGAUGGGGUUAGCGCAAGCGAAGCUCUUGAUCGAAGCCCCGGUAAACGGCGGCCGUAACUAUAACGGUCCUAAGGUAGCGAAAUUCCUUGUCGGGUAAGUUCCGACCUGCACGAAUGGCGUAAUGAUGGCCAGGCUGUCUCCACCCGAGACUCAGUGAAAUUGAACUCGCUGUGAAGAUGCAGUGUACCCGCGGCAAGACGGAAAGACCCCGUGAACCUUUACUAUAGCUUGACACUGAACAUUGAGCCUUGAUGUGUAGGAUAGGUGGGAGGCUUAGAAGUGUGGACGCCAGUCUGCAUGGAGCCGACCUUGAAAUACCACCCUUUAAUGUUUGAUGUUCUAACGUUGACCCGUAAUCCGGGUUGCGGACAGUGUCUGGUGGGUAGUUUGACUGGGGCGGUCUCCUCCUAAAGAGUAACGGAGGAGCACGAAGGUUGGCUAAUCCUGGUCGGACAUCAGGAGGUUAGUGCAAUGGCAUAAGCCAGCUUGACUGCGAGCGUGACGGCGCGAGCAGGUGCGAAAGCAGGUCAUAGUGAUCCGGUGGUUCUGAAUGGAAGGGCCAUCGCUCAACGGAUAAAAGGUACUCCGGGGAUAACAGGCUGAUACCGCCCAAGAGUUCAUAUCGACGGCGGUGUUUGGCACCUCGAUGUCGGCUCAUCACAUCCUGGGGCUGAAGUAGGUCCCAAGGGUAUGGCUGUUCGCCAUUUAAAGUGGUACGCGAGCUGGGUUUAGAACGUCGUGAGACAGUUCGGUCCCUAUCUGCCGUGGGCGCUGGAGAACUGAGGGGGGCUGCUCCUAGUACGAGAGGACCGGAGUGGACGCAUCACUGGUGUUCGGGUUGUCAUGCCAAUGGCACUGCCCGGUAGCUAAAUGCGGAAGAGAUAAGUGCUGAAAGCAUCUAAGCACGAAACUUGCCCCGAGAUGAGUUCUCCCUGACCCUUUAAGGGUCCUGAAGGAACGUUGAAGACGACGACGUUGAUAGGCCGGGUGUGUAAGCGCAGCGAUGCGUUGAGCUAACCGGUACUAAUGAACCGUGAGGCUUAACCUUACAACGCCGAAGCUGUU
rnacentral:rRNA from 1 species